UACAGAGGGUGCGAGCGUUGUCCGGAAUCACUGGGCGUAAAGGGCGCGUAGGUGGCCUGAUAAGUAGGGGGUGAAAUCUCGAGGCUCAACUUCGAGGCUGCCUCCUAAACUGUCAGGCUUGAGCAGAGUAGAGGCAGGUGGAAUUCCCGGUGUAGCGGUGGAAUGCGUAGAGAUCGGGAAGAACAUCGAUGGCGAAGGCGGCCUGCUGGGCUAUUGCUGACACUGAGGCGCGACAGCGUGGGGAGCAAACAGG
rnacentral:rRNA from 1 species